ensembl:lncRNA
GACGAAUAGUCCCCCUACCCGGAUGCGUCCGUGGGCGGCGCUUCUCGCCCGUCGGCCAAUGGGGCUGACGGCGCGGGGCGCGUCGCGCCUUCCCGUGGUGCCGCGCGGCGAGCGGCGGCAGGAGCGGCCGCGACUCCAUCCGGGUCUCGGCGCGGUUGCGGGUCACCCUGCGGCAGACUAACUUGAAGGUCCGGAAGUACCGCCCCCGAGCGCUCCUGAUUGGCGGCCCGGCCGCGCCGCCCGCCGGGGAUAGGCUGCGGAUGCCGUCAGCGCCGGGGUACGUCACUUCCGCUAGCAAGUGUGUGGGCCGCGGAGACCUUGGCCCCGGGGGGGCCCGGGCCGUGCGGGGAGCGGGCGGUCGGGGCCCGGCGCGCUCAGGGGAGGUGGCUGAGGGCUGCAGUGCGCCGCGGGCAACGUUCCUCAAGCGGCGGGAAGGGGCGCGUGGCAGCCACAUGGCGGCAGAACCCCUCGGUCGGGUCAGGGCGGAACGGCGGCCGACCCCGCGCUGGUAGUGGGCUUACAGAGCCUAACCGCGCCGCGGGCCGGGGGGAGACGCGGCACCCUGCCCGGCCAGUGGGCCUCACUGCUGAGUUGGGAGUGGAGACUCAGCCCGGUGCGGGAGGUUACGUUCAGCCCUGUUGAUAGAUCCGCCUUCUGCACAUCUUUUGUGCCUCUCUUUAAUCGCACUGUUAACGGGCAGCUGUCUGCAUAACAAAAGCAGUAGUGGAGAAACUGCCUCACUUCAAACACACACAGUGGUCCUGCUGAAUGGUACCUGACAGCGUGGGGUCAAUGCCAGUGCAUAUCUGAACCUGGGGAAAUGGGUCUGUCAGAACUCAUAAUGUUUCUUAGCAAUAUUUAACGAGUAGGGCAUCCAUCCCACUCUCCAAGUAGGUGAGCAGCUCCCAGGGUCCCAUGCCCAUGUGGCACUGCUGUGGGACAGCCGCAGCUCCCUGGGCUCAUUGCAGCUGCCGCUCCAACCCCUGCAGCCUUUCUCCAGUACUCAGCUUUCAAGAGGAGGUUUAAUAACUUUUUUUUGGCCCUAUAGUAGCUGUCUUCGUGCAAAGGACCUUAUUAAUUAGCGGUAUUGGGGUUGAUAUUUUUAUAAAUCUGUUCACCAAAUAUCUUAAAAUGCAAAAGUGAUGCAUAUGGUCGUACUAGGAAUUUGCUUUACAUAAGAUCAGAGACUUGGCAGAAGGAAACAGACACAUCAUCCCAUUACUUUGUCUAUUACUACUACCAAGCAGUAUCCUUAUUUUCACUUUCCUUUGGAUAAAUGCCUUCUGUAUUUUCCUCUGUUGGCAGUGGAAGCAUCAUUUCAUUUGCAGUUAAAAGGCUCCCGUGAUCUAUAGGAAGCAACAGAUGUCAAAUUGUUUUGUCAGUUAAUAACACAACACUGCAUUGCUGGAAAUGUUCUGAUGUGUACUAACUUGAAUGUUUGCUGAAUUGGUGUAAUUAUUAGUUAUGUUAACGUGCAACCUUUAUGCAAAACAAGCUGCCUGUAACAUGCUGUUAAUAGAUGAGAGGGCUCUCUUAAUUGCUGUUCCGUGGAGAAAAACAACCAUUACUAAAUGUUUUGGUAAGUUCAAAUGUUGCCAAUAAGUAUCAGUCAGUUUUCGUCUUCAAAAAACAAUCCUAUAUUUCUUCCACUUUUCUUUUCAGUUAUCUGCAUUUUGAUAAACUGACUGAGGUUGCUGGAACAAAAGCAUUGCCUGCUUACCAAUGUGGCAUGUCCUAAGAGGCACAGAUCUAGUGAAUAAAUACAUGUGCGUUUAUUGGUAAAUAAAAUGCACAUUCCUGUUUGAAGCAGGAUCAGACAACUGGAGUGAUGGUUUCUAUUGCGAAACGCAUUGAGAACCAUAUGGCAUUUGGAGCCGUAGCUAAACUGCAGUAUGCUCAUAUCCAUGUUUCUGCUGCCAGCGUAUUGAUUGACAAACGUAGUAUUCAAAAGGAUUUGUGAAAAUAAGACAUCACAGUGCAGUUGUUUCCCUUACUCCACUGCGUUACCUCAUGUUGCUCAGUCUCCUGCCAGAUCUGUACCCUGCUGUAUGCUACAUCCUUAGUGUAUGCUGAAUGUGAAAGAUGAAAACCUGAUUUUUCUGUCAUGUCACAGGAUUUGCAUUCACAUCUGCAGAAGAUGAGUUCGGACUGCACGUUACACAGUUUUCUGUUGCGUUUUCAGUAUACUCCCAACAUCAUUUACACAGAUCUGUGAGUCUUUGUGUGCAGGUAUACGUACCCAUGAAGUAUCUGUAAAAGCUUAGAAGCCUCAGGAGACUUUUUUUCUUUCCAUUCUGCUUUGUUAAGUGAAAUAGUGCAGGUGUUUUGCUCUGUUGUAGUCAUGCAGUAGUAAAUAAGAAACCCUGGCUUCUGCUCUUCAGCACUUAAUUAUGCACUGAUUUUGACACUCUGCAUGGUCUUCUUUUUCCUCCUUUUUUUUGGUUUCUAUCAAACACCAAACAGUUUAAAAAACAACACCAGGAAUCUCACUGGAGCAGUGUUGGGUUUAUGGGCAUAACAAGAGGCAAUUUCUAAACGAUAAGUAACUGAAAUGCAUCAAUAGGGCUUAGUUUUGAAUAGCAGAGAAGGAGUUAAAUUUAGAAUAGAAUACGUAGCAUUCAUCUGUGUAGUUUGCUUUGAGAACUAAAGAAUGAAUGCUCACUUAGAUGCAGAUAGUUUAAUAUUAACGUGAAAACUGAGUACAUGCAGAGGAAGUUGCUCCAAUUUGCAUUCCUGUCAUUCUUUGCUCACGUUCAAAAUUAUUAAUCAUGAUCACAUACUUUACUUUUCUGCAGGAGAUGUGCUUCAUUCCAUGCAUGAGUGGGCAGUAGUGACUCCUAAUUUCUUUCAAGCUGUGUUUCUGGAGAUUUAUAUUCCUUCUGUAACGACGUGGUCAGAAAAAUAAAUGAAAAUCAAACAUAAUAACUGCAAAUGGAACAAACCAGUAAUAUUUCACGUUAUAAUUAGUCGAAACCAGGCUGCUUUAUCUUAAAGCAAUUACAUGUAAGUGGGAUGUAGGUUUUUGGAAAAAGCUUGGCAUUUCUGGCAGAGACACGAGAUAAAGGCAUCGCUGAUGACACUCAGAGGUAUUAAUGUAGUGGACACUCAGCCCUGCCAGCUGCAUGCAUUUUGGUGCUGCUCAUAUUUGGAUUUAAAGCCUAUCUGUGAUUUGUAUGGCGCGCACUUUUACACUUACUCCAAUGUAUUGCUGCUAAAUUGACUACAGUGUCCAAAUAAAUACUAAAAAUUAGAUACAUACAUACCAAAUAAAUACUAAUAAUACUAAGUUUUAAGGUUUUGGGCUUAAGCAGAUGACUCUUAGAAAGGCUUCUGGCCUUCAUCACCACAUCUUAUGUUCUAAUUAAAGCAUGUUUGCUUUCUUGCAUGGGGCCUAUUUUCACUGUAGGUGAAUUUGUUUGGCACAAAGGAAAAAAAGAAACUCAUCUGGUUUAGUCCUAACCAUCACACACGAUUUUUGUUUGUUUUAACCUUAAAGCUUCAUCUUUUCUGCUGUACUUAAUUUUAUCCACUGAGAUUUUUAAAGUUGAAUUUAAACAUGAGAGUGAAAUAGUCUUUGGUAACAAGCUGUUUACAAAUGGUUGCCAAAUGGUCUUUUUGUUGAAGGAUGUACUGCAGCAUUAUAUACCUCAAAUUGAUGCAUCUGUUUAUCUCCACACCACAUAACAACAGAUGUCAGUAAAGCACAGUUAGGAUAAGAAGUGUUGCUUCUACAAACACCCUUUCAGCUUCGGGUUAUUAAUUCUCUGUUGCAAAAUUGACAAAAUCAAGUGGGAGGAUAAAACAUCCAUCUUUUAGGGUCACACUGAAACAAAAUGGGACUUUGAUUACUUUCACAAAGUCACAUUUUGUCCCUUCCACGCUGUAAGGGUGGCUUGAGCUGUUUUUCCUUCUAUUUCACAGGUUACAGACUGAUUAAGAAUGCUGGUGGUGUACUGCGUGCUACUAAAUGAGAACGUGUAAACGCCAGCAGUUUUUUUCCCUAUACAGUUUAGAACUGUUUCAGAGGUUUCAAAUACAUACAGUAGCUCAGGAAACUCAUGGGAAGCACUCUUCAGAAAGGCAGCGCCUCUUUAGGUUCUACUUUGUCACUUCUCUUGGAUGCUCAGUAGGAAUGAGGCUCCAUCAAGAUGAGCACAGUAUUAAAGUACAAUCCAAAACUGAAUUGAGAAUAGAAAGAGUUUUUAACUCACACUGACUAAAGCUUUUGUUUCAGUAAUUACGUGAUCUUAGACUCUUCUGGAAGGAGUGAUGAGAUAUGGACGUAGUGUGUGACAGCAGUAUAGGGGCAGCCGAGGGGAAGCAACGUGGAGGAUAAUUAAGUUUGCAUCAAUCACAGUGUUGUGCCUGCAAUCCCCCAACACCCCCAGUCAAAAAAAAAAGCAAGUUUGCAGGUCUGCACGUACUCACUGUGGAAGGUGGGUGUGUGGGGUCUUCACAGGGGGCUGGAGGAGGUGGCAGAAAUUCCCUCACCAAAAGUGGCAGUGGGAGUCCAAGUACAGCUCCAGUGCAGGUGACGCCACUGAAAUUCUGGGGCAGAAGCAUCAGAAGUUGGUGUUAGUGCUUGCAAUGUGAAUGCUAGAGCUCCACCGUGUGGUUACAGCUGUGCACUGUGCACAGGCUGGGCCCUCAGCCCCGGGCUGCAGUGGCCAGAUCAAUGGAGGAAAUAUUGGCAGUGAACUCGGGCAGCUUCAUUCGAUGCUCCACGACAGCUGCACAAUUACAGUGCCAUUUGCUUCACUUCUACUGCUUUGCAGAUUUUUAAAUACAGGCAAUGUGGUGACUGGAAAAAACUACUUUGAACACAGCAGUUGAUAAGGAAAACAAAUGCAUAUUUCUUAAAACACAAAAAAUCAUGACGUCUUUACUGCUAAAGCACUGAGCGUGCUGGUGGUGGCACAAACAGCUGUGCUGUACUCAGGCAGGAUAUCACCAGCAUGGUGACUUCGGUGCAAGGAUGUAUGCCAUAGCAGAUUCACACAAAGCUGAGAAGAUACCAAACGAGGGAGGCUGUGCCAGGAGUAUAGUUUAUCAGGCAUGCGGUACAUCAAGCUUCUCUGCCCAGGUGUGCCAGGAAUGCGUAAUGUGUAACAUCAGGGAAGCCUGGCAGAGCUCAUUCCAUGAAAGGACAAUGCAACUUAGGUGAGACUGUUUUUAGAAGCUGUUAGAAAUAACCAUUACCUGCAGAACUGGUGUGAAGCACAGCACUGCUGGGCUAGGCUUUGUAUGAAUGUCACACAACGCCUUCAAGAGACAGCUUGGGCUAGGAUUUUUGAUUCUUUUACUUCUAUACCUUUCUAUUAUUAAACAGAAUAAUAAAAAAGAUAGUAAGUACCUACCAGAGUAAUGUACCAUCAAUAAAACUGCUUUUCUCCUGUAGCUAAAAGGCAGGAUACGUGAUGAUCUCUCCCAAGGUGUAUUUGUUGCAGAAUGAGGUUUUCCUGGUGCCCUGUGUGCACUUCACCAUCGAUCUCAAGCCAGACUGUUGCAUAGAACCACAAGGUAACAAUUGGAUGUCAUUCAAAAUAUUUUUUCAAGGACAUUUUUGACCUUAAGUAAGAGAGAGCCCUUCCAGGCCUGUAAUAGAUGAAAGGCUCAUGUUUCUGGAAGCCAAAAGCAGACAAAUGCUUCAGGAGCUGCACGUACCUAACAGGAAAGUCUCACGGUGGCAGUAGAAAAUAGGUUAGAAUUUCCUGUAACAGAACUUAAUUGAGAAGUCCUCCUGUCAGUAGCAAUAAUAACAUUAAAAGCUGUUUAGGCUUUUAGUUCACGCCAUCUAGGGGUGGCAAAAUGCUACAGAUUAGAAUCUGUUCUGUAAUCUUAGCGUCCUCCUGGGUUCAUUUUAAAACAGGAAACUCAAAAGUAUCCUGUGUAUUUUAUAAGUUUUAUAUUCUUUUAAGUACCUCUUUUUUUUUGUACAGUAGCAUCUAUUUAGUUUUUCCAAAGCACUUAAAACAUUUUCAGCACAUUGGAGAAGCAGCAGCUUCAUCUUAAAGAUCCACCUGAAUUGAAAUGUCUUGGACUUCAUGGAUAAAUGACAAACUGAAAACAGCAAGCCAGCGCUCUCUGUAGCAAGGCUGGCUGGGCAGAGGCUCAGCAGUGCCUCUCCCAUGGAGGAAUGGGCUCCUUGCAUGAACUCUGCUCAGCUGGGGAAGGUUGGCACGUAGGAGUAAGGAACUGUGAAAGGACUGUCAGCAUCCUUACCAAAUAUUUGCUUGACAGCAGGAUGGCUAACUGAGCUAAUUCAAAGGAUGCGAUACGUGCCAGUGCUUCCCUGUCAUUUGCCUUUGUCCCAGUGCUACUGUUGUAAUUUAUUUGUGUUUUGGACAUUAGGACCAACUGCUUAUGUCCAUCUGUGCACGCUAAAGCACACAUUCUGAUCUGUGAGUGGUUACAAGCAAGACUUUAAGUGUGAUUCACCAAAAUUUGUCAUCAAUAUUUGUACAAAGGAUUCUGGAGUAAAGCUCUGAGGGGGCUGGAGAGUACUUCUAUUUUUUUCCUCUGUUCAAGGAAUAACGUCAUCCCUUUGUAUAUUAAUGCAUUGGAUCACGCGUUGUGUUUUUUGGCAAGGACAUUAACAUGCAUUAGGAGCUCUUGUUCUAUCAAGGCUUUGUUUGAUGACUGGUCUGAAAACCUCAGCUCAGAAUUGGGAUGAAGUAUGAGUACAACGUGUAUUUAACGUUUGAAAAUCUGUGCAUUUCCGUAAACACUUUCAGCUAUCUUAUAAAUUACAUUGAUAAAAUGAUGAGUUUUCCUCUUCAGCUCUGUUCUCAAGACAUCCUUGCUAAGAAGGGGACUGUAAGUCACAUCAGUCUGGCAAGUAUUUUGAUUUCAAUAUUGUUAGACUUUUUAGCUUGAGGUCAUGUUGAGCUCUGGUAACGUAGAAAUCAGCUUUAAAGCUCUAUCAGGAGCAGUCAGAGGAGCCCAGUUGUUUCUGAUCUAAAGGCAAUGUAUAUUUUAAGUGGCCUUUUGGUAAGGCAGUUUAACAAUUAAUGUCAUAUUAUAAGGCCUUAAUAAGUUUAUUAAAAAUAAUGUUUUUAAAAUAGUGAUUAAGUAGAAUAAAAAACAGUGAUUUCUUAAGAAUUAUAAAUAUUAGGGUCUUAUACUGAUCCAUGUAAAUCAGCUGCAUGGUUAUGGUCCUAGAUUUUAUUACUAUUAACUUCUGAAGAAAUGCAGAUCUGCAUAUGAUGUUUCUCAUGGACAUUUUCUUACAAUUUCAGAUAAGAGAUGACAUCUGUGGAACGCUAAUAGUAUUUUUCCUGUAACAGACAAGUUUAAUGACUACAGUUGCUAUGACUGCUGCAGCUUGCUAACUGUCUAAAGAUUAAAUACAUUAAGACCCAAACAGUUGGUAAACUUUUGAAACGAAGGAAUCUUAUCCUUACAGUAACAUCAUUGCAUGAGUGGAGAGAGAUGGGAAUGUUUUUUUCCUGUGACCAGCAUAGCACACUGUAAGUGCCUGCAGUUAGCUUAAGCUGUCUUUAUUAAAGCACCAUUCUUUGGACAUCACCUCUGAAGAUGCCUGCACUGUGGGAUGAGGUAGUAGGUUGUAUAGUUUUAGGGUCAUACCCGCAACUGGGAGAUAACUAUACAAUCUACUGUCUUUCCUAAAGCAGCAGAAAAUCAACAACGGAGACCGUUCAGUUUUAAGCACAGUGUCAGAUUGUCCCAAACUUCUGUACUCGGAGUGUUUAUUAUAGCAGACAAAUAUUUCUGCAACGCCUACAGGUAAUUACUUCUGGAUUUUUUCUAAUUCUCUACAUUAAUUUAUCUUCUCUAAGGAUAACACGUAAGAACAGAUUGAUUCCUUUAAGGUGGGGUAAUGGUUGAUGUUCUAAUAAGUUGUGUUAACACUGCUAACUGAAGCAUCAAAUAUUAAUACUCGAGAAUGAGACUGUGGUUAGCUACUUCAGCAAAGAGCUUAAGUACAUGCUUCUCUGUCAGAGUGAGGUAGUAGAUUGUAUAGUUGUAGGGUAGUUAUUUUACCCUGUUCAGGAGAUAACUAUACAAUCUAUUGCCUUCCCUGAGGAGUAAAACAAACUGCGGUCCUUUGCUGUUGUUUGUUUCCACGUUGAGUAAGAGUUUACUUGUCAGAUAAGUUCAGGGUUGGAGAGUAUCACAUUAAUCCUGUAAAUUCUGUCCUUAAUUAACGAUCAGUUUGAAUGGUGCAAAUCCCAAACCUUAUGGAACUAAUACAACUUUUCUUUCAAGGUGAGUGGCACAGCACUGUCUGGACAUCAACAAUGCAUCUCUUAUAGAUACAGAACUGAAUACACCAUAGACUGGAAAUCAUUCUAAAACGAUUUGGUUUUGAACCUAAAAGUAGUCUUGGCUCAAGCUUAUACAUGGUGACAUAAACUGUUUUAAUUUCUGUAAUACAUUAACAUUCCAUCACUGUUCUGUAGAAGCUGGGAGACUUACAGUCAUACUUCAUUAAUACGCCUGCUUAUUUUUCUCUAGCUCUCGUAGCCAGUGAGACUUAAACAAUGUAAUACAAAGAUUAAAGUGUUGAAUGGCCAAAAUUGAUCCCUUCAACUGUUUAGGAGAAUGUAAAGCUAUGAAAUUUGAGUGCUCAAGAUCCAGAAUUGUAACUUCUGUCUGAAGAGGUUACCGAUUUUAUAAGAAGGCAUUUAAAGAUUGUGUUCUUUAUACCCCAUAAGCGCUAGGUGUACCCCCAUCUAGCUGCUUCUGCCCUAGGGUGACCACCUAACAUCUUCCUAUAACAACAAGGAACAAAAAGCAUGAAAACAUUCUGAUGACUGAAAGUUUAGCGUAGUAAGAGUGAAAAUGGAGCCAUUAAUGAGUACUUAAGCCAGGAAUGUUAACUGGUUAACCACUUAUUAAACAGUGCUAACUGUAAACUUGUAGUACAUGCCCUGGCCUAAAAAUGCAGAAGACCAAAAGCAGCUGGUAAGCUAAGCUGGCUUCACAGAGCAGCUGCUAAGCAAGAAGAACUGCAGAAAGGAAGCAUUGGGCUCCUAGGAAGAGGUAGUGGGUUGCAUAGUUUUAGGGCAGGGAUUUUGCUCACAAGGAGGUAACUAUACAACCUGCUGCCUUUCUUAGGGCUUUAUUAUAACACCAGGACCAUUUUGGCUCCAUCCUAACCUCUGCAGCUUUGGUAUGUGAAGAGAAGUGAAGCUGUUUCUAAGCAUAUUGAGGUUUAAUGAAACUGGUGUCUCAGCAAAUUUGGUACAGACUUGAGCACAGUACUAUUAACUGGAAUUUGGUAUUGUGAAAUGCUGCAUUUCAGGGCACACAUGUCAUUUUGUUGACAUUGGUGUUGUGAUAACUUACAAAGAUAAUGAAAAAAAAUUCUAAGAGUAAGAUCAGAUUCCCUACAAUUAGGAUGGAGGUGUUACAUACUUCUUAACGUUCAGUUAAGUACUAAUGCUACAUACUUGCAAACAGGCAGCUAUAAUGCACCUUCCUUUGGCUUUGUGAAGUUUCCAAGGAUCAACUUAAAACUCACCUGAAAGCUGGUGGGUUCCUGCAGGCAGGAAUAGGUUCUCCCAAAAAGUCAUGCUCUGUCAUGGAAUACUUGCAGUCCUACAGGAGCGUUUUCAAAGUGAAUGACUGCACAUCUGCUGUGGGGUUGUAUGUUGAGAAGUAGAUAAUGCUUUCAUGUAAUUACAGUGCAGUACCACCAUUGUUCUGGUAGGGCUUCAUCCAGAUGUGCUCUGCUGUGGGAUACAGAGACCCUUAACUGCUGAUCAUCUUGGAAGAUUAAUGCUUUAUGCUUACAGCAGCCAGUUUUUAGAGUUCUGGCAAGACAGAAUCCUAGAUAUUAUAAACAUACUUAGUAUGUUAAUGGAAAUUGUCUAUUCAUUGAAGUGUACACACUUGAUUUACUCAAUAAAAGAAUUUUAUGCAACUCCUAUGGUGAAUUGACUUUACUUUCUACAAAAUAAGGAAGUGAAUUUUACAGGAAAACACCGCUCAGACUACUGAAGUGAAAUCAAGACCAUAUUAAAAGAAGUUUUAACAGUAAUUAGUGUAAAAAAUCCCAGUGUAAAUUGUGAUUUUUGAUAUGAGACAUCACUGAUGGGAGACGAGGGGAAUCCUUACUUACAACUUUACUGUUGAAUGCAUAGGAAUUCUGCUUACUCCAGAGCUGUUAUCUGAGCAUAAGUUCUAAUUGUUGCUCACGAAUGUAGACUUUUGAGAAGGUGAGCUCUUCUCUUGACUACACCUUGAUUUUUGCAUACAGUUGGUAAGGCAUCAGCAGGUACUAUUUAGGGAGGGAAAUGGAUACCCUGAAGUUUCAGUUUUUGCAGUAUUAAAACGCCUUAAAAGCUUCAGCACACUGAACACUAACCUGUGUAUAAGGUGUAUGCUUAUGAAAGACUUGAAUAAUCAAAUCAGUGCUAGCAACUGCAACACUGCAUGCUAUGUUAUUAAAGCCUGUGUUAGGGAAGAACUCUAACCAGAUGAAAACCAGCAGCUACAUAGGCCUGUUAAUGUUCAGUUUGGUAUAAUAUGCAAGUUUUAGGCUUGAUGUGCACAUAUCUGUCCUGCAAAUAUAACAUUUCAUGUUACUAUCAGUGCUGCUGGCUCUCUUUUAACAGUAUACGUUUGAAGACAAAAAGUACACGUAGCUUUUAAUUUAUUAGUUUGACUGAAGUUGUAAACAUCUCAACAUUGAAAAAAGGCACUGAUCAGAAAAUGUUAAAAACAGAACCCGUCUUCAUGGACUCCCAAGUGCUAUUUAGGUAAAAGUACCUGAAUUUUGGGAUUAGUAUCUCCACAUGCUUUCAGUGUACUGUAAGCAGAUAGUGGAAAGAGAUACUGCCAUGUCAUAUACGGUCCCUCUUAUAUAACAUAAGCAGCCUUAAGGAAGGCAGCUAAUACUCAGUUCAUCAUUAUUCUUUUAAAACAGUUCAUUAGUUCUUGAUUUAAGGAUGCUAACCCCUGCCCCUCAUCUGCUCAGUAGGGGCUGUCUCACCCACGGCAGGUGCAGGCAUUUCCUCCAUUGUAAUUCGAAGCAGCUUGAUUAAGUGACAAGGCUUGAACUAGGAAGGAAUUACGCUGUGGUUCAGCUCUCAUGUAACAAUCAGAUUAUUUCUUACCUUGAUGAUCUGCAGGUUCCACCCUGUAAAUGGUAUCUGCUUAGCAGAGCACAUGGUUUGUUUGCCUUUUUUCCACAUGGAUAUCCAGUGAGGGGUCCAAGGAUGAGGUGGUAGUGCAGAAAGAAUCCUUCCGCUCAAGAAACAGUAGCUAAAGAAUGCAUAGCAAACAGCAGAAAAGUCUGCAGUAACAGUAGAGACAUGUUUACCACCCAUACCGAAGCAGUUUUGUCAUGGUGGUCUUGGAAACAUUCCAGUAGAGCUCUGAAAAUAGAAUAUAGCUGCUGUGGUGAUCCACAUCCCAGGAGAAUCGUUUGUGUUCCCUGCCUCUCCAUGCAGGAAGGUGAGCUUGGACAUCUUCCUGGUAGAAUGCAACCCGACACCUGCUGAGAUUUUCUAUACCAGAAAACAUUACUAGCAAACACUUUCAUUUCUAGAGAGACUUUGGGCACUUAGUGCCACAUUCACAGCCUAUGUACUUAAUGCAUUAAGAGUUACAGUUGCUGUGCUGCCUUACAGACGUAGGAUUGGGGCAGACACCAUAUUAAAAUAGUGUUGCCACAAGAAUUACUGAGAUUUCUGCAUAGCUUUUAGAUAACAAAGCUCCUAAGGAGCAUAUUCCACCAUACGAUAGUCUUACUAUAGCUUGAAAGGUGUUCUCUGCUAGAGUUUGUGUGGCUGGCAAAGGUUUACAUACUUAACUAUUGGUUUUCCUUUGUGCUUCUGUAUUUGACCUCCUUCCAACCAGAGGGAACAGAUGCAAGGAAAAACCUUUACAGAGAGAUGUUAGCAACAUGCACUUAGAACUACCAUAUCAUUUAUAUUUAGAUUCCUGGACUGCUUGAUCCAGUCAUUUGCAAUGCCAUGUCAUCCUUACACCAAAAAGCAGCUCUUGCUGCCUUUGGGCAAGCAGCAGGCUGGACUCAGUAAUAGGUGCAUACAGGUAGUCCAUCAUCUCUUGGAUUUACCAAGCAGUCUGUGUAAAAUACCUGAGAUAUACAUAUAUAUCAGUGUAUUUCAGACAUCCUCUUUUUCUUUCCAUAUAUAUAUAUAUAUGGAUAUAUAUCCCUUAUAUAUAUAUAUAUAUAU